GACGAACGCUGGCGGCGCGCUUAACACAUGCAAGUCGAGCGAUGAAACUUUAACAGAACCCUUCGGGGCGAAGAUAAAGUGGAUUAGCGGCGGACGGGUGAGUAACACGUGAGUAACCUGCCUUAGACAUUGGGAUAGCCUCGGGAAACCGGGAUUAAUACCAAAUAAAAUCAUAAUGACACAUGUCAUAACGAUCAAAACUCCGGUGGUCUAAGAUGGACUCGCGUCCCAUUAGCUAGUUGGUAGAGUAAAAGCCUACCAAGGCGACGAUGGGUAGCCGGCCUGAGAGGGUGAACGGCCACAUUGGAACUGAGAAACGGUCCAAACUCCUACGGGAGGCAGCAGUGGGGAAUACUGCACAAUGGAGGGAACUCUGAUGCAGCGACGCCGCGUGAACGAAGAAGGCUUUCGAGUCGUAAAGUUCUUUUAUAUGGGAAGAUAAUGACGGUACCAUAAGAAAAAGCCCCGGCUAACUACGUG
rnacentral:rRNA from 1 species